CCAGUCUACUGGCAACCUUUCUUGUUCCCUCCUGGUUCAGAUGCAGGAUCUCGUCUUGAAACGUGGACUUGCACCUUUUGCCUCCACAGAUGCUGAUUGACCCGCUGAGAUCCUUGCGUGUUCUGUUGUUAAUGGCAAAUUACUAACCUCUUUCAACACCUUUGCUGUUCAAAUUAAUCCCAAAUUGGGUUGUUGGCAGUUUUCCUUCCUUUUACAAUCCAAGUUAAGUAAUCAAUUAUAGAUGAUAAAAUCUGCAAAUGCUGGAAGUCUGAAAUGGGUCAUGCAGCGUCUGUGGAGAGAGAAACCGUUAAUUCGCAUUGGAUUAGUUGAUUAUCAUCGUUAAUGGUGGUUGAAAGGUCAUUGACUUGUAAAGCUAAAUCAGUUGUAGAUAUUGGGUUAUAUAUAGUUAUUCAGCACAGAAACGGACCCUUCGGUCCACCAUAUCCAUGCUGACCAUCAAGUCCCAUUUUGUACUAAUUCUAUUGACUAGCACUUUGGUAUCUUGGUGAUUCAAGUGCUUAUCCUGGUACUACUUUAAAUGUUAAGACUAGGAAUCUAUCUAAUUUGGAAAAUUCUGCUCCUUGUGCCAUUUUAAAGAUCCACAUAGAUCUUGUAUGCACAGUAUUGUCUCUAUGAUUUGGGCAUAGUUGUGGCUUUUUGGAUGAUCACCCUUAAUAGCAAGGGAUGGGGGGCAGUAGGCGAGUACCAAGAGUAGAAGCUAAUGAUGCCAUCAAGUUGCUUGAUGAAGGCAUUGGAAGAGGCUGAUUGGGAUGAGUGCUACCUUUCAGGAGAGAUAUCAUAAAAUACACCAGAAUGUUUUGGUGAAAAAUUGUAUUUAUUUUUAUUGCUGUCAGUUGAGCAUUUCUCCUUGCUUUAAGACAAAACGUUAAGUUGUCUUGUCCAUUGGUGAGACAUUAGCAAAUCCAAUUUCUUUACACGGUCCCAUUAUCUUUGGGGGAUAGGGGCACAGACUCCACAGAUAAGCACAGAUACCACAAAGGUUCUGUCCUUUGUACCAGUACAUGUUCCUCCCCCAAGUAAACAUAAGUAUGCCCUAAAAUAUUCUAGAAGUUUUAACAUGCAUUAAUAAACAUUGGAGCAUUUUAAAUGCCUAAAAGGGCAUAUUAGCUAACAAAUAUUUGAAGGUAUUUAUACUUGUAAGCAGUUAUAAGUUUGAGCAGUGCACAGCAGGGAGCUACUUGAUGCAAGUGGUCUGGAAUCUGAGCACUGUGUGUAUAUAUGGUUAUCAAUGUGUACACACAUAUAGAUACAUCUGUUUCAAAAAUGAGAUGAGGCCUGAGGUUGAUCUUGUGGAUUGGCAGAUAAGCAAAUCAGUGGAUAAUGACGACUGAGAAUAGUCAAAGACCCACCAGUCUUGAUCAUAGCAGAGUAAGGGAUAUUGAUGCUAGUAAAAUUUUCUUAAAGUGGGUACCAAACAUUUCAAAUGACUAUUUAUGACCAAUUAAUGUAAACCUGUGAAUAAUUAUGGAAAAUACAUCCUGUAUUAUCUACAUAUGUUGUGGCUAUUGGUUGGGAAGUUCUAAACAAAAAGGAUGUUCUCUGGUGUUCUCUACUUUUUGUUCUUCCUGCACAACAGUUUUGCUCCAUUACAUGAACUGAUUUGUCAUGAUGUCACAAGCGGUUGAGGACAUGGGAGCAGCAUCCCAGCCCCAGUGUCUACACCAGAAGUUCUGAAGACAUUUAAUGCAUAUUUUGGGUAUUGAAUAAAAUUUGGGAAGUAUUCCUCUGCAUCUGUGUGCAUUUGAUCCAUUUUCGUACUGGCUAUUAUAUGGCCUUCGGAAUCCAUGUGUACAUAGUCUGAUAAAAUUCUAGGACUUGAGUAGUUAGUAUGAAUUAUAUUUCAGAUUGCAUCCCUGAGAUGAAAAUGAGAAUGGUGGUUCACAGGACAGUUUAGGAGCAUUGAUGCCAGGCUGUCUAGGAGGCACGGUAGCGUAGCGCUUUACAGCGCCAGCGACCUGGAUUCAAUUCCCGCCACUGUCUGUAAGGAGUUUGUAUGUUCUCCCCGUGUCUGCGUGGGUUUCCUCCAGGUGCUCCGGUUUCCUCCCACAUUCCAAAAAAGACGUACAGGUUAGGAAGUUGUGGGCAUGCUAUGUUGGCGCCGGAAGCAUGGCGACAUUUGCGGGCUGCCCUCCAGAACACUACGUAAAAAAUGCAUUUCACUGUGUGUUUUAAUGUACAUGUGACUAAAGAUCUUAUAAAUAGCUUAACUUGAACCAAUUUGACAAAGAUUUUUGGGGGAUUGGAAAUUUUGAGGAACGUGACCAGACAGGGAAUUGAGGGAUGUAGACCAUGCACAGGCAGAUGUGAUUAGUUUAGAUUGGCAUCACGGUUGGCACAGACAUUGUGGGCCAAAGGACCUAUUCCUGUGCUGUACUUUUCUAUGUUCUAUAUAUCAAUUACAUGACAUACUGUUGAAAACCUGAGAAUCUGAGGGAUGUUGCUUUUAAGACUGCCUUUAUAGGGGGGAAAUAUUGUUCUGUAGUUCUGUUCACAGCAUGCUGUUCCUAAGGACAUGCACAACAGAUGGGAUAGAGGUGGUGAUAGCAGGUAUUGGGUAAGGAAUAUAGAAACCUUUUUUAAGAAAAAGCUUGAAGUAAACGCCAAUGGAAAAUGAGUGAUCUACAGUUUAGUAUUGUGGAAAGGUAGUAGUCCAUAAAUAAGGAUGUUAUUGCCUUUGUAAGAGGUCUUUAUUUGGUUUCACUGCCAUUUAGGCACUGGAUAUAGAAGCACCACGUUGAUUGUGUGAAUGUGGGAAAAGUUUUAACGUGCUACUGCUUGCACUGCGUUAAAGUGGCAAAUGUUAAAUUUACUGAAUGAAAUCUUGAUUUUUAAUAAUGUGAAGAUGGGAGUCAGUACAAUCCUGUCAAUAUUAAGAAUGACCAUUGCAGUCACUAGAAGUGGCGCAUAUUCCAUUUGGGUUUGCUUUUGCUAUUUUGAUUUGGGCUGUCAAAAGCGAUGUCUUUGCAUUUUUCUGUUCAAUAGUGUGGAAGGAUUGGUUAUGAUAAAAAUUUCAGAGAACAUCUGCACUCCAGAUUUAAUCCAAAAGCAGCAGGCUGGUUAAAAAUCUUAUUGGAAAGCUAUUGAUAGAGAAUUGGUGCGUUUUCUAAAACGAUACAUGUUAAACUGUCUGACUCAAAUGAACGUUUGAUGUUGGGCAUUGAGUGGCAAUGGGCAGACUUCACUGUGUCUGCCGGCAAAGGCGUUUGUGUUGCAUUUUUUUUAGUCUGGAGUUUCUCUUGGCUCGGAGGACCAGGUUUGAUGCUCUUUGUCACGAAGUUCCCCUUGACUGGGAGGACUUGCGUAGAGCCUCUUUGUGUCGGAGCUGUGAGGGAAGGAGCUGAGGCGAGCCGGACUGAACUGUGCUGUAUAGUUGCUUGCGUAGCGCCUUGGCUAAACAGCGCAGAAAUAAUCUAUAAAAAUGCCAGAUAACGGCACCGAGGAGGCUGGCCCCAGUACAGAUGAUAUUUGCCGUGACUUCCUGCGCAACGUCUGCAACCGCGGUAAGCGCUGCAAGUUCCGCCACCCAGACGCUAAUGAGAUGUCCACCCUUGGCCUUUUAUCUUCUGAUCUACCCGUUAAUAAAGGUCCAAUGGAGCAUUCACAGAGCAGUUCUCAGAACUCUGUAAUAAAUACACCUGAUCCUUUAUGGCCAGUUGCAGCUUUUUGCCUCCCAUAAAACGUAAGGGACUUUGUCUCAUCGGACUAUGUUAUUUGUUGAGCAGCGCAGAAAUAAUCGGUAAAAAUGGCAGACAAUAAUGUUGUUAACAAUGGCAAAGACGAGGCUGGCCAGAGUACGGAAGAUGUUUGCCGGGACUACCUGCGCAAUGUCUGCUAUCGCGGCAAGACCUGCAAGUACCUCCACCCGGAUAUAAAUGAGGGCUUUAACUCAUGUUGGUAUACGACCCCAUGGUCACUGCAUAUUUGAGAUGCACAUUCCUGGGAUUCCAAUGCUUGAACACAAGAAGAGUUGGUGGAUGAAUUCAGUGCUGGUCCCCUCAAUCUCAUCUACCUCUCAAACACCGAGUCCAUAAUGUUGUCAAGAGAAUGGAAAAGUUGAACAUACUUCUAAAGUGCACUCUCAACAUGUCAAUGUCUCUGCAUUCAAGUUGCAUCAAAGGAACAGACAAGUUGAAUGAUGAUCAUAGAAGAGAGAUAAAUAAGCUACAAAUGAUAAAUUACAAUGUAUACAAAUGGAAGCCUAGGUAUUAACCAUUGAAAUACUGCAGAGAUUGAGUUUGAAGAAAUACAUGUUAGGUGUCAUUGGGUUCCCAUCCCCACUUUAUCCACUUAGCACUCAUUUACACUGCAGAAUUGAUCUUAAAAUCUAGUCUUUUCCCAUCUUCUAAAUCUGUCUCAUUUGUUUGAGAAGUCUGUGUGCCUUUCUCAUGCUAUUUUUUUCUUCCCCCCACCCCCCCCAGCUCCUCCCCAUUAUCUUCCUUCAUCCCUUUCUCUUCACCUUCACCUCUUCAGUGCAUUUAAGGUGGGUGAGUGAGAUACCAGGAAGCAUUUUGGAGAGGUGAAGCACAUCAGGAAAGUUGUCACGCUAGUAGUCGUGAACUCUGAACAAGUUGAUACUCCAGAUCCUCCCUCCUCUUAGUUCAGUGCACUCUUGUUAUGCCUUAACUAAUUCCAUCAUAUAAAUUGAUGUAUGGGAGACCUUGGGGUGCAAGUUCUUAGUUCAUUGAAAGUGGUGACACAGUUGGAUAGGGUACUGAAUAUAGGAUGGAUAGUCAUCUUUUUCUCAGGGCAGAGGUGUCCAGAGCUAUAGGGCACAGGUUUAUGGUGAGGGGAGAGAUUCAAAGGUGAUCUGAGGAGUAAGUUUUUCACACGGAGGGUGGUGGUUAUCUGGAUCAAGCUGCCAGUAGAGGCAGAUACAGUUACAAUGUUUAAAGGACAUUUGGACAGGUACUUAGAUAGGAAAGAUGUAGGGGGAUACCGGCCUAAUGCAGGCAAAUGGGAUUAGUGUAGAGAGGCAUCAUGGUCGGCAUGGACAAGGUGGGCCAAAGGGGCCUGCUUCUGUGUUGUAUAAUUCUAUGAAAUUUUCUUGUCCGUAUUUGCAACCAUCCCUUCAAACUUGUCAUUACAUGUGAUCUCUAUUCCUAACAAUUUAAUAAUAGAUAAGGCCAUCUCUAAAUAUGUGCCUGUAUCUUUCACUUGCAUCAUCCUCCUUCAAACCCUUCCAUAUCUACCUAGACAACUUCCUACAUUACUAAAAAUGACACUUUCAACUGUCUAGCCCUUACCUCAAUGAUGACUGUGUAGAAGAGUUGUUUUUAAAAAAUCUAAUCAGUUAUAACCUCACCUACGCAUUUGUUUUUGUUCCCAGUAAGGCCCUUGCUUUCCCACCCAGUUGUUCUCCCUGAUAUGCCCAUCAUUGUCUGUUUGUGUUCAGGAGUUGCAAGCUGGGUAUGUGGACAGAUCUAGCUGGACCACAUUCAGCAGAUCAGGCCCUAUUCUCCACAGCCAUAAUUGCUCACUAGUUCAGCUUGUGCGUUAUGCAAACAUUAUCCUUCUCAAACCUUCAACAAAAUGUGUAGAACUUGUAGGCAACUUUGUCACUGAGGUUGACAUAAUUCGGCUGUCUGUGAAGUAUCAGGUUGCUCCAUGACUUGACCAUAGACUCUUCCCCUAGUCUUUCUCCUGGCUACCAACUAAACUGCUGACCACUCAACCUGUCUUGCAGGUUCCUUCUUCAGAUUUUGUCCUUCCUUUCAAACCUAACAUUACCUCAACCCAACCUUGACUUUCUCUUCCUUGCAUUUUUCAACCCACGUCUCCAUCACAUCCUUGAAAGUGCUGCCUUCCAAGUCCAAGCCAAGUUCACUGCAACAACAAACCUAAACUUAUCUAGUAGGGUGUUUGCCACGGCCAAAGCACUAAAAUCAUCUCUAUGAAAUCCAAAAAUGAAAUGCUGUGAUUGUGAUGUGUUAUCUCUCGUUGUUCUCAACUCUGCUUUUAAGAUGGUUGUCCACGCCACCCUUUCCCAGCACUCCUGUUAGCAGUGGGAUUGUGUUCACCUGUUUUCUCCAGCUAUGAUGAACAAGAUGAAAUGAAUCUGCAGCACUGCUGUUUCUUCUCUUUCCCACAAACUAUAUCUCACGAGAGCUGUAACUCGAGUUCCACAAGGAUAUAGAGACACGAGAGACUGCAGAUGCUGUAAUCUGGAGCAACUCGGCAGGUCAGGCAGCAUCUGUGGAGGCAAAGGUAGAGUUGACAUUGCAGGUCAAGACCCUGCAUCAGGUCCAGUCCAUGGACCAUAGCUGAUCUGCUGAGUUCCUCCAGUUUUUAUUUUUUCCCAAGAAUAUAUUCUGGAGCCCCUUCUAUAUUUAAUCUACAUACUGCCCUUCAAUGUAAAGAUGUGGCAUGUAUUGCUGACAACACCCAGCUCAACUUGACCACCUCUUCUGACACCCACAGUUGCCUCUGUGGUAAGGUUGUUUGUUUCAUGUCCAGUCCAGUCCUGAGUAAGCUGCAGUUUCUUCUGAUUAAGUAUUGGGAGGCUAAUGUCUUUGGUGCUCAUCACAAAUUCCUCACCACUGAUUCUGCUCCCACUUUGGUCAUCAUAUUAGACUGAACCAGGCUGCUUGGAACCCUGACAUUUGAUGCUGAGCUUCUGGCCCUAUAUUCUCAUUACAAAGACCUUCCAGCUUUGUUACUUGACCCAUCUUUACCUUGUCAUCUUUUUCGCUGAAACUCCCAUCCAUGCAUUUGUUACUUCCAGAUUAAACUAUUCCAGGAUUUUCAUUGUUGACUGCCCAUCCUCCUGUAAACCAGAACUCACCCAUAUAUAUUCAAAAUUCAUACCCAGCCCUCUUCUCCAACUACCUUACUCAUGCUGACUUCCACUGACUUCUGGCCCACCAGCAUCUAAAUUUUAAUAUUCACAUUCUUUUGUUCAAUUCCCUCUAUUGCUUUCCAUUUUCCUUUCUCUAUAACCUCUAGUACUAUCAAGAAAUGACUGAAUUUUCAGUGUUUUUAAAGGUCUUGGAAAGGAAAUUUGCCAUUUUUGAUGUGGGUUGGUUGGUUGGUUUGUAACUCUGAAUCAACAGCUAUUUGGUUGGCUCAUAAUUACCCCCUAAAUAACCUAAGAAGUUAUUCAGUUGUAUCUAAAGAACAGCCACACAACAAAAAUAAGAACAGGUGAGUGAACUAUCCUGAACUGGCCUGGAUACCACUCAAACACAGCAAAGACCAACCCAGCCAAGCCCUUGUGAAUAGCAAGGAGCAGACUGAAAUUGGGAGAGUUCCAUGGAUUAGCCAGGCAACAGCUUGGUUAUGUUUAAUACACAGAAUUCAGCCAUUGGCCCAACAUCCUACAUCCCUGAGAAAGACCCUGUAGUAUCAGCAGGACAGAUCCACAAUGGGUGAUGUGUAAUGGCAUGUAGGUGGAAGGGAGUAGCCCUGGGUGCUGAAAACUGGACCCCAUAAACUCUGACAGGUCAAACACUGGCAAGGAAACCUGAUUACUCCCUAACUCCCUCCCUGAGCUGGUAAGUCUGCACUGCUCCAUACUGAACACCACUUUGAAGUAUAUACUCUAAUUUCACUGUUGGUUGCCAAGAUCGGCUCACCUCUGUCCUUGUAGAGACAGUCUCCACAUUGUGGAUCCUGUGCAUUGCAUGGCAGUGCCAUUGUGCUAAAUAGGCUGAAUUCAGGACACAGCUAGCAGCUCAAAACGUGGGCUCAAUAAGACUCUGGACUAUUAGCAGCAUCUGAAUUGUAUUCCACCACAAUCUAAUCCCAGACUGCCAUGUUUCUCUAUCAUUAUCAAGCUGAAGACUUCAUCUGAUUCAGUGAAAAGCCUGCAAGGAGCAACACCAUGUGUAUCUAAAGAUUCACCAACCUAAACCACAACAGGGGAUUGCUUGCAUGCAUGCUAAUCAGCAAAGGUAGCAUCCUAUAAAUAUCGGUAAUCCCACAAUGCAAUGGAUGAUAUCAAAGCUAUUGGUCUGUGAUGUCCAGUGCUAAAUGCUGCUGGUUAAUGAAAACACCUAAAACCAAAAGGGGGACACUGUGUAAAGUACAGUAAGCACAAAAGGAGAGGCUGAAGUGUUCCUGACCAUUUGACCCAAAAGUGUCAAGUGGUGCUUCAUCUGUUAGUUAAGCCUAUUUGAUUCACUGGUCACGAUCUAAAGAAAUGGGUUGCAGCAUGGGAUACGGUAAAGGCUUGGGGACCUGGCUGCAAAACAGGAACAUCAUGUGUACCUUGCUGAUCUGUCCCUGUGCAGCUACAACACUGGCUCUACUUGUUAAUGGGUAUGUUUUGUCCUUGAAAAGCAGAAUAAAUCCAAACUAAUUACCACACUGUCACAGUCAAUUUUCAAUCAUCAGCAAAAUGAUGGAAGGUGCGGUUAACAAUGUUAUCAGAUGGCACCUACUCAGUGAUAACCUGCUUGCUGAAAUUUAGUUUGGGUUCUGUCAGGACUAUAUCACCUGACCUCAAUAGCUUUGGUCCAAAUAUGGGCUAAAUUCCAAAAGUGAGAUGAGUGACUGCCCUUGACAUCAAGACAGCAUUUAACCGAAUGUGGCAUCAAGGAGCCCUGGAAGUCAAUGGGCAUUGAAGGGGAAAAUUUCACUAGUUAGAGUCACACCUGAUACAAAGGAAGAUAUAGUUUUUGUUGGAGGCCAAUGAUGUCAGCCCUAGGACCCGCUGUAGGAUUUCUUCUCUGCAGUUUCAGCCGCUUCAUCGAUGCCCUUCAUAAGGUCAGAAGUGGAUGUUCACCAGUAAAUAUACAAUAUUCAAUUCUAUUUGCACAACAGAUAAUGAAGCGAUCCAUAUCUGCACGCAGCAAAGCCUGGUCACACUUGGGUAUAAGCUGAUCAGUAGUAAAAGCGUUCAUCCCACACAAAUGCCAGGCAGUGACCAUCACUAACAAGUGAUUACUCACCUACCCUUGGCAUUCUACAGCAUUAUCAUUACUGAGGUUACCAUCAUCAACAUAUUGAAAGUAACCACUGACCAGAAACUUAACAGGACCAUCCACAUAAAUAUUUGCUUGGCUGCAAGAGUAAGUCAGAGGCUGAGUAUGCUGCAUUGUGUAUCUCACCUCUGGAACCCCCUCUCUUCCCAACUACAGAUUAUUCAAGAAGUUAGAUAUUAUCCAGGGCAAAAAAGUACAGUUGCUUGGCACCUUAUCUAUCAGUUGAACUAUUCACUCAUCCAUCACUGGUAUACUGUUGCUGCAAUGUAUACUAUCUACUAAAUGUACUACAGUAACUUGCUAUGUCUUCAGUUACACUUCCCAAACAAAUGUACCACAGAGAAGAACAAGUCAAUAUCUACAAAGGAAUGCCACUGGGUUAAAGUCAUGGAACUCCCAACCCAGCAGCAUUGAGGGAGGAAGGGAUUGCAAUGGUUCAAGAAAGUGGUUCAUUGAGGGCAAUUAGGACUGAGCUAUAAUUUCUGGAUAUUGCAGCUAUGAUCACCUCCUGUAAAUAAAGGGAACUGUGUACCACCACUUCGGGUGCUUCCUGCAUCUUCAAUUCCCUUUCCCCCCCAAAGUAUAUGCUGGUUGCUUGCUUAGUGCUCAGGAUGCAUUCCCAGAAACAAGUGCUAAAAGGGGUCAUUAUAGCAUUAUACGUAGAGAGAAGCGUUACUGAUAACUGUUGCGCCGGGAACCUGGUAUAAACCCCUGCCUUCUACUAUCUUGCAGCAAUGAAUUGUACCACGACAGUGUGGAGGGACUGGCAUUGGGUGGGACAGGCUGAGUGGUGCAGCCACUCAGCACUAAGAUGUAGGGCUCAGAGCUGUACCUAGGGUUUCUCUGAUCACCUCAUUACUAAGCAUAUUCCUCAUGGUGUUAAUGUCAUGUCAAUGUGGCAUUAACUUCUUAUUUCCAUAUGUUCCAUCAACACUCUUUAAACCCACCAUUGGUGACCACGAUCCUUGCUAACUGGGCUCCAGUUUGAAAAUGCUUAAACCUCUGCAUCUCCACUCUCAAACCAGAUGAAAUAAAAAAUUUUUAGUCAUCAUCAUAGUAAUUACACUUUUGUGAAGCACCUUGAGCUGUUUUGCUGUUAAGGGUGGUAUGCAAGUUGUGUUGUGAUUUUUACCUGCACAUUUUCACAAUGAUAAUUGCAUAGCUAUCCAGAAUCCUCCCUUGGCUACUCCACUUACUAAAUGUGGAGUGUUGAGACUGAUUGUGAUACUUGUACUGUUGGCACAGAGAUGAGUGGGAUCAUCUUGGUCUGUGUUAAUCAUUGCAGCAUAAAUUUUUAAUUUUAUACAGAUUACUGAUUGUCUUUCACAUUAAAUUUUUAUUUCAUAGUAUUUGUAUAAAGGCAGUUUUUAUUAAUCACAUUUCUACGUAAUGUUUAAAAUAUAUAUAGUACUGCAAAAGAGGUGCUAGCAGAUAAUGUAUCAGACAGUGAUUGAUUUGUUUAUAUUCUUACAACCCUAAAAACUUUAUUAAAAAGUUUUUUUUAAAACUGGA